UCCAGUAUUUAGUAAUCAGAAGCCAGCACAUGGGUCACAUGUGUGCCGAGCUGCAAGUUGGACUCGUCUGAUCUGACCUAUUUUGACUUCUUUGACCUUCAAGUUUGACCAGAUUGGUUCCCUUGACCCAUUCCUGCAUUAAACAGACACGUCCAACUUUUGUUUGAGAGAAAUUUCAGUUUCAACAAUAGUGACUAACACUUAAUUGGGUGCUAGGCAAGAUAGCAUAUGCGGCAGACACUAACAGACUUGAGACAGCGCAGAACACAAUCAAGGAGACGUCUACCUUGGAGAUAAUUUUGAAGAUGUUACCAAAAGUCAAAGCUCUUGAUUUUAAUGGAAGAAGAGAUCUUGAUUUUUUCUGGAUUAGCUUAAUUCAACAGAAGAGAUCUUGAUUUUGAUGGGACAAUAGUGACUCUAACACUUGUUUUCUUCUUUGUGUCUCUUCUAUUCAUAGUUGUAAAGCUAUUUCCUUUCAUAUUCCCAGGUCCUUCCUUGCUGCAUUUUUUUUCCCUCUGUUAACUUAGAUAUACAUUGGGAAUCUUGGAUUCUAUUUUCAUUUAACAUUAUGGUCUUUCUGUCAGGUUGCUGUUAGUACUGCUAUUCAAGAUGAGAAGGAAUUUCUAAACCACAUCAUCACUUCAACAAAUAUGAAGUGCCUGACUCCUCUGUCUGCAUUAGAGGGAGAGUGUGGAUUUAUUGCUGCUAAUCUUUAUGCAAAGAGUAUCUUCGGGGAAGAUGCACUGGUGAAUGUGAGCGUUGA